UCCUCUGAAUAUACAUAACUGGAAGAAACUGAAUACAAAAGAGGAUAUGUGGACAUAUAUCAAGACAAAAUAUGACAUUCAUGAUGAUGGAAGAGAGUGGGUUUUUCAAUCAAUUCAAAAUGCUUGGAGAAGAAAAAAAAGAAGGAAACUUCUGAGGAACCAUCAAGUAAGGACAUGUUUGUGGC